AAGCACAUGAUGAGUUACUCGGAUUCCCCUUCAAGAUAUCAUGGGUGAUGCAAAAAUCGAGUUUCUGACGCA
rfam:Solanum lycopersicum cultivar Heinz 1706 chromosome 6, whole genome shotgun sequence.